UGGAGCUGGGGACAACGUGGAGCUGGGGACAACAUGGAGGUGGGGACAACAUGGAGGUGGGGACAACAUGGAGGUGGGGACAACAUGGAGCUGGGGACAAUGUGGAGUUGGGGACAACGUGGAGCUGGGGACAAUGUGGAGCUGGGGACAACGUGGAGCUGGGGACAACAUGGAGCUGGGGACAACGUGGAGCUGGGGACAAUGUGGAGCUGGGGACAACAUGGAGUUGGGGACAAUGUGUGGCCCUGGGGGCGACCACGUGUGGAAUUGGAAGGACCGAUGGAGUUGGGCACCACACGUGGUGUUGAGGAUGACGCCGUGGCUU